UACGUAGGUGGCAAGCGUUGUCCGGAAUUACUGGGCGUAAAGGGCGCGUAGGCGGAUAUUUAAGUCAGAUGUGAAAACUCCGGGCUCAACUUGGAGAUUGCAUUUGAAACUGGGUAUCUUGAGGACAGGAGAGGAAAGCGGAAUUCCUAGUGUAGCGGUGAAAUGCGUAGAUAUUAGGAGGAACACCAGUGGCGAAGGCGGCUUUCUGGACUGUAACUGACGCUGAGGCGCGAAAGCGUGGGGAGCAAAACGGGGAUUAGGAUACCCCGGUAGUCCCUGAG
rnacentral:rRNA from 1 species